CUCGCCAGGCUUAACUCAAUAACCACAACACCGGAAAAGGAAGCAAAGGUCGAAGUUCAUCCGCGGCCCUGAGGCCUGUGGGAAACGUAGUCCAACAACGAAAGAGCCCUGAAGCUCAAGCGGAGCCCGCUGGCCGCAGGGGCCGCACCACGCCCCAGACCCUGGAGUUUCCGGGUGCGCAGACCCUUGCCAUCAGCAGAGGCUGCCGCUGCGCGUCCCCUAGGCGCGGAAGAGGCGGCUGGUGGUCCCUGACGGCAAGGUUUUAUACAUUACGAAUAAAGCUGGCACGUUUCCAUUUCUCCUGGGCAAAUAUUUAGAAGAAAAGUUGCUGGGUAAUUGAAGCACUGAGACCACAGAGGCAAGAGCUGGGGAAGGAAAACUGCCCAUGAGAUGAGAUGUGCCUCUCAGCUUCCAAAAUCGGGGAGGGUUGCAAAGGGAUGACACCAUCCACACCAGAACUGCAUGAAUGGCAUCAGGAAUGAUCAGAGACCAUAAAUUCCAGUGAGACCAAUAACACCAUUUCUGGUCCUGCAUGCUCUUCCAAACUUUGCCACUAACCCCUUCAAGAGGCUAGGUUAGAAAAGGCAACAGAACUUCAUCCUAAUCUCUCUCAAGAUGCCCCCCAUGGAAUCCAGCCAUCAUGCUGUGAGGAAUCCAAGCAGCUACAUAGAAAGGCCACAACUAGAUAUUCCAGCUGUAGUCAGCUGAAGCUCCAGCCAACAGCCAACAUCAACCACCACACGUGAAAACGAGCAAGCCUUCAGAUGAUUCCGACUCCCAACCUCCAAGCCACCUCAGCUGAAGCCAAGUAGAGCAGAGACUAGCUGUCCCCCAAUGCUCUAAUAUGCAGAUUCAUAAUUAAAAAGAAUGUUAUUGUUCUAAGCCAUGAAGUUUUGGGGUGGUUUGUCAUGCAGCAACUGGAACUGCC
rnacentral:lncRNA from 10 species